UCGGGAGGGCCCACAGUAGGGAAUCUUCCGCAAUGGACGAAAGUCUGACGGAGCAACGCCGCGUGAGUGAUGAAGGUUUUCGGAUCGUAAAGCUCUGUUGUUAGGGAAGAACAAGUACCGUUCGAAUAGGGCGGUACCUUGACGGUACCUAACCAGAAAGCCACGGCUAACUACGUGCCAGCAGCCGCGGUAAUACGUAGGUGGCAAGCGUUGUCCGGAAUUAUUGGGCGUAAAGGGCUCGCAGGCGGUUCCUUAAGUCUGAUGUGAAAGCCCCCGGCUCAACCGGGGAGGGUCAUUGGAAACUGGGGAACUUGAGUGCAGAAGAGGAGAGUGGAAUUCCACGUGUAGCGGUGAAAUGCGUAGAGAUGUGGAGGAACACCAGUGGCGAAGGCGACUCUCUGGUCUGUAACUGACGCUGAGGAGCGAAAGCGUGGGGAGCGAACAGGAUUAGAUACCCUGGUAGUCCACGCCGUAAACGAUGAGUGCUAAGUGUUAGGGGGUUUCCGCCCCUUAGUGCUGCAGCUAACGCAUUAAGCACUCCCCCCUGGGGGAGA
rnacentral:rRNA from 2 species